rnacentral:rRNA from 1 species
UACGUAGGGUCCGAGCGUUGUCCGGAAUUACUGGGCGUAAAGAGCUCGUAGGCGGUCUGUCGCGUCGGCUGUGAAAACUCUCGGCUCAACCGGGGGCCUGCAGUCGAUACGGGCAGACUAGAGUGCUGUAGGGGAGACUGGAAUUCCUGGUGUAGCGGUGAAAUGCGCAGAUAUCAGGAGGAACACCGGUGGCGAAGGCGGGUCUCUGGGCAGUAACUGACGCUGAGGAGCGAAAGCGUGGGGAGCGAACAGG